rnacentral:rRNA from 1 species
UCCAGACUCCUACGGGAGGCAGCAGUGAGGAAUAUUGGUCAAUGGCCGGAAGGCUGAACCAGCCAAGUCGCGUGGGGGAAUAAGGCCCUAUGGGUCGUAAACCUCUUUUGUCAGGGGGCAAAGGCGUCCACGUGUGGACGAGAGGAGAGUACCUGAAGAAAAAGCAUCGGCUAACUCCGUGCCAGCAGCCACGGUAAUACGGAGGAUGCGAGCGUUAUCCGGAUUUAUUGGGUUUAAAGGGUGCGUAGGCGGAGUGUCAAGUCAGCGGUAAAAUUGCGGGGCUCAACCCCGUACUGCCGUUGAAACUGCAUCCCUUGAGUGCGCGAGAAGUAUGCGGAAUGCGUGGUGUAGCGGUGAAAUGCAUAGAUAUCACGCAGAACUCCGAUUGCGAAGGCAGCAUACCGGCGCCCGACUGACGCUGAAGCACGAAAGCGUGGGUAUCGAACAGGAUUAGAUACCCUCGUAAC